UGCGCUUACCGUACUUUUAUUACUACGUUUGUCCUUUUCACCUCUCGUCUCUUCUUCUGGCCUUUUUAUCUCUAUCUCUUCCUUCUUAAGUUCUCACUCACCCAUCUCAUUCCAUCGUGAUCACACAGACCCAUCUCGUCCCCUUCCAGUAUCUCUCAGCUCUAUCUCUCCAUACUCUAGCCUGAGAGUUUCUUAGAAUACCUGAGUCUGUGAAAUAGAGGGUAAGGACGAAGAUGAAGAUAAAGGAAGCGUUUUGUUUUGAGGGGAAUGUUGUCUGGCUCGAGGCCACAAACUAGAUCUAUGAUAUUAUCUCAAUUUCACCAAUUUGCCAAAUUAGAUCUUUGGUAUCCCCAGUUGACAGGGGUGCUCAUAUCAUUGAUCAUGAGUUUAUGACGUCGGACCAGGCUUCAUUCCCCCCAAUUAUUGCUUCCAUUCAAUCUAAUCACAAUCUCCUUAAGUUUGUUCUUCAUUUUUUUUUGUCUUGAUCUACUGGUGAGCAUUCUUACCUCUUUUUCAUGUGAUUUUCUCCCAUGUUUGGUAUAUUCUUAUCAGCUUUUGGGACUUUUUUUUUUUCAUUAUGUAGACAUAUAUAUUACUAUGGUUUUUUUGUAAUUAGAGAAAUUAUGGUCGUUGGGCAAGAGCAGAUUGGAGUAAUGAUGAUGGAUUUUGACUGCUUUUUUCCACCCCUUUUUCUGACCGAAGAAGAGUGAACGGAUCAUCAUUACUCUUUUAUUUUUUUCUCUAAAUUUCAUGGAUCAGGCAGGCUUGUGUUUUUCCCUGUCAGUCUUUCUAACCCUCAGGUUCAUCAUUGGGCUGGUUCUUUCAUGAUGGCUUCGCAAGAAUCUUCUCUGUGCGUUUCUGCCCUUUCCUGUUCUACUUCGUAAUUGGCUUCUUCUCGAACUUCCAUUCCUAGCCUCAACACCAAACGGUACUUUUGCUUAGGGUUUUCCUCCGAUGGAUUCGUGCAGUACUGUUCAUGCCGAGAGAAGUUCAGAUCUCAUUUACUGUGUUAAUUUGCAAAUUUUUUCUCAAAUAGACUUUCAUAUAUAAUGGUUAUAAUAAUAAUAAUCGAUAUCAAUAUGCAUGCUUGUAAAACUGGAUGUAUUAUUAUCAUGGUUUUCGAAAUAUCAUUCUGUGGGUAUAUGAUCUGGUUUGAUCUUUUGUCUUUUAUUAUGCAAGUUAUACUGAGAUGGGUGGAUUGUUGGCUUUUCUUUUGUCUGGACCUCUGAGUCUGGUCACUUGAUGCUUUUUUCAUGGAUGAAGAGACGGCAAAAGCACUCGAUCUGUUUUUUAGAGAAAUGAAACCCCACAUUCUGCAAUCUGUGAGAGGAGGAAGAUAUGUUAUAAAAACUAGUGUUGUGAACGGGUAGCUACUAGCUAGCUGUUCAUCAUGUUCUUCGACCAAGAAGACAGCAAAAUCUGGUUUUCUGAAUGCCCUGUAUAUAUUCUGCAAUCCUUCUUUUGCGUAGUAUUCUACAAGUCUUCCUAUAUCAAGUCCAUCAUUUAUGCUUCCUAGACUGCAUUGGGAUUUCAAGUUUGAAGUAUUUAUGGUUAAUUUCGAGAAUUAUUUGUUCAAAUUUCAACGAGAUCGGACGCGGGACAGAAGGCCGGAAAGGCGGGAUGUAAUGUCAUGACAAUCUUCGACGUCUCUUCGCAACAGUAAUAUUUCUCUCCAAAACUGAGGUGCUGAUCAUAAAGAGUAAGCUGCAUGGGUUACAUGAAGAAGUGUUUUCUUGCGGUUUUCAUGAUGAAUUUGCUCUUUCUUGUAUAGAAGGAAAUAUAAAAAAGGAAAGAGAAGAUCAUGAAGCGAUUUGAAAGAUGAAGGAGAGAAGCUUCACCGAAUUAGAAGACAACGUCCGUGAUGGGUCUCUACUCUCUUAAUUAGUGCUUUGUGGUGUUGGGUGGAGUGUUGUGCAUCAUUCGGUCAUCAAUUUCUGAAGCUGAGUGCAUAUGAAAACGCUGAAUGCCUUUAAUGGCCUGACUCCUUUUCCCUCUGAAUCAUUUACCAUAAUGCAGUUAGGUCAACAUCAGCAGUUACAACAUGGAUUCCCCCAUUGUUUAGUAUUUCAAUUACUUGUUAGGAAUCUAGUACAGCAAAAAGAUGUCAGCUCAGUGUUACACCUCCCAACACAUGAUGUACUGUCUCCCUAACUCGUCUAGAUAAAAAAAUUUAAAGAGAAUAUAAGUUUAGAUGUAUUUAUAUAAAGUAAAAAAAUAUUGUAGGUCUUGCGUAUAAAGAGACGCUAAAUUAAAAAAGAUUGUGGAUUCUAUGUGUAAAUAAGUUUUGAAUUAAGAUGAUUUUAAUAAUUUGAGAGUUGAAUGUUUGAAUGUUAAA